rnacentral:rRNA from 1 species
GACGAACGCUGGCGGCGUGCUUAACACAUGCAAGUCGAACGAAGAGCGAUGGAAGCUUGCUUCUAUCAAUCUUAGUGGCGAACGGGUGAGUAACGCGUAAUCAACCUGCCCUUCAGAGGGGGACAACAGUUGGAAACGACUGCUAAUACCGCAUACGAUCUAAUCUCGGCAUCGAGGAGAGAUGAAAGGUGGCCUCUACAUGUAAGCUAUCACUGAAGGAGGGGAUUGCGUCUGAUUAGCUAGUUGGAGGGGUAACGGCGCACCAAGGCGAUGAUCAGUAGCCGGUCUGAAAGGAUGAACGGCCACAUUGGGACGGAGACACGGCCCAGACUCCUACGGGAGGCAGCAGUGGGGAAUCUUCCGCAAUGGACGAAAGUCUGACGGUGCAACGCCGCGUGAGUGAUGACGGCCUUCGGGUUGUAUAGCUCUGUUAAUCGGGACGAAAGGCCUUCUUGCGAAUAGUGAGAAGGAUUGACGGUACCGGAAUAGAAAGCCACGGCUAACUACGUG